AAGUCACUAAAUAAGUCUUAAUAUUACAGACCAAGAUGUGCAAAAUCAGAAUAAUCUGAUUAAAAUAGUACAAAUCCAUAUUGCAGGAUCUCAAAAAAAAGAAAAAUACAUGUUCAACAUGAUUACAUCACUAAAACAACAUAAUUACUUCCUUGCUAGACGGGUUCAGAUUUCACUCCUUCCAAAUGGUAAGAACUGUCGGAGGAUGGUCAAGUACAAAAGACAAAGUGUCUAUUUUCUUCAACUUCAUCUUCUUGAUAAAUUUAUACCAAGCUCCUCCGAUCUGAAAUUGUGGAUAUUCGGUACUUGCCUUUUUGACAGUGCAAGUGACCGUGUACUUAGUGUGGCCGUUCACAAUUUUCGGUUGAUGAUCUUCAGUAAAGUCUGAAAGAACAAUACAUUCAUAAUUGUUAAUGUGGAUAUGAUUUAGUGUUGAAAGUAAUUGGUUACAAAUUUUAAAUUGAAAGCCACAAAAUAGUAAGGACGACACUAAUACACAUAAUAUACAAAUUCAUGUUGAUAGUGACAAUAAUACACCAUUUGUACACAGGAUAUAUAGAACUUUUUAUUUUAUGAUUAACGAUAUAAUGAUGACAUUAAUACAAAUAAUAAUAGUGCAAGACCUAAAUUGCAUAGUAUUACAAAAAUCCAAAUAUUAACUUACCAAAAUGCUCUUGCCUUUUGCAAAAGCAUGUGAAAUCUGUUUUGUCCAGCGAUAUUCCUCCUCAGCAGCUUCUCCUUCUUCUUCAGCGCGUUGGUGUGCUCU
rnacentral:lncRNA from 1 species